CUGUGCUCUUAAUGGUUCCCAUUCUAUUACUCCUGUCCUUUCUCUCCCGUCAAACUCACCAGUUUAUGUCCUUCCUCCCCCCUGACAGUGUAGGAUGGAUUCAGAAGUAUUCGUUUCUGUGUUCCCUACCCUUGUUGGAGUCUGGCAACAGAACGACAUCGGGGUGUGCUUUUGUUAAAUCUGUGGGCAUUAAAAUGGCAUUGCUGUCUCUCACCUGGAUUUCAUCUCACGUCCUCUCUCUGGCCGUAGCCUCAGACCUCCGUGGCAGCCCUGACUAUGAAGUCUUGGCCAUGUCACGUAACCUUUCUGCAUUCUGCUGCUGAGUAUAAAGAAAGCAUUUGGAACACCUUUCUCGUUUCUAUUUCACGAGAUGGGUAGGAUCAAAUGAGACGACGUGAGUUUGGAAGGGCUACAUGCUUAGACACCUCCCGUGCUCGGCUCAGUUGGCUAGCAACAGCUUAAAGGACAGCGCCUCUCAGCAUAGGAAGCAGCAAUCAUCCGCACCUGUUGCCAAUUAAAGCAUUAAUGGCCCAUCAAUCAAGGAGAAAUCACUGGGAAUGGAGAUGACACAGGCUCUGUGCUCCUGUCAGUUUUUUGGAAGACAUCCUCUGCUUCAAG
rnacentral:lncRNA from 1 species